rnacentral:rRNA from 1 species
ACGGCCUAAAGCGUGGUUAAAUUAUAUUAAAAUAUAUAGAAAUAAAAAUUAACUUAACUGUCGUACGUAUUCGUUAAAUGGAGAACCAAAAACGAAAGAUAUUCUAAUAAACAAAUUAUUUGAAUCCACGAAAGCUAAGAAACAAACUAGGAUUAGAUACCCUACUAUGCUUAGCCUUAAACUUUGGGAACCCCCCGCCUGAGUACUACGAGCCACAGCUUAAAACUCAAAGGACUUGGCGGUGCUCUACACCCCCCUAGAGGAGCCUGUUCUAUAAUUGAUAAUCCCCGCUAAACCUCACCACUUAUUGCCAAUACCGCCUAUAUACCGCCGUCGUCAGCUCACCAUUUAAAUGAAAAAUAGUAGGCAUAAUGAUAAACAUAAAAACGUCAGGUCAAGGUGUAGCGAAUUAAGUGGAAAGAAAUGGGCUACAUUUUCUAAACUAGAAAAUACGAAAGAUUUUAUGAAAAACUAUUUAAAGGUGGAUUUAGCAGUAAAAAGAAAACAGAGUGUUCUUUUUAAAUAGGCCCUAGAGCGCGCACACACCGCCCGUCACCCUCCUCAAAAGAACAAUUAAUAAUAUAAUGACAGUAAAAUAAAAGAAGAGGUAAGUCGUAACAUGGUAAGUUUACCGGAAGGUGUACUUGGAUAU